CGGAGGGAUCAUUAAAGAGUUCUAUAACUCCCAAACCCAUGUGAACAUACCUAACGUUGCCUCGGCAGGUCGCACCUACCUUGUAGCACCCUACCCUGUAGGGCCUACCCGGGAGGUGCGGGUAAGCCUGCCGGCGGCCCACCAAACUCUGUUUGAUAUUGAAUUCUGAACCUAUAACUAAAUAAGUUAAAACUUUCAACAACGGAUCUCUUGGUUCUGGCAUCGAUGAAGAACGCAGCGAAAUGCGAUAAGUAAUGUGAAUUGCAGAAUUCAGUGAAUCAUCGAAUCUUUGAACGCAUAUUGCGCCCAUUAGUAUUCUAGUGGGCAGGACCGUUCGAGCGUCAUUUCAACCCUUAAGCCUUCGUUGCUUAGUGUUGGGAGCCUACGGCAACGUAGCUCCUCAAAGUUAGUGGCGGAGUUGGUUCACACUCUAGACGUAGUAAUUUUUUAUCUCGCCUAUUAGUUGGACUAAUCCCCUGCCGUAAAACCCCCAAUUUAUCAAGGUUGACCUCGAAUCGGUUCAGACAAACUCGCUAAAUUGAAGCAUCUUAGUCAGCGAAGGAAAAGAAACCAACAGGGAUUGCCCUAGUAACGGCGAGU
rnacentral:rRNA from 1 species